rnacentral:rRNA from 1 species
CGGUGGAUCACUCGGCUCGUGGAUCGAUGAAGAACGCUGCUAGCUGCGAUAAAUAGUGCGAAUUGCAGACACAUUGAGCACUAAAAUUUCGAACGCACAUUGCGCCAUCGGGUUCAUUCCCGUUGGCACGUCUGGCUGAGGGUCAGUAUAUUAAGGAGUAUGAUGGGCGCGCCAAUUUAUGGAAUGUGAUUAACGCGCAAGGUUGUGGUGCAUUCGGUGAGCUAUGCUGGUGUGGUAAUGGAUAUUGUGCAAUUGUACAGCGUACCUUGCCAAGGAAAUAUUCGCACAAGAAAUGGCUGUCGUUUGCUCGUAAAGAGGCAAAAUUGGCCAUGAGUGUAUGUUGCGUUGCUUCACGAUACGGCCUCCAGCAAACGUUGUUUAUUGUUUGGUUGUGGCAGCAUCCAGGUUGGAGGUGGCGUUAUCGGUCGCUUGAAUGAGGAAUGCAUGGCGAAUGGUUGAAAUGAGAUUUUUUUUUUCUGACCUCAGCUCAGUCGUGAGCACCCGCUGAAUUUAAGCAUAUAACUAAGCGGAGGAAAAGAAACUAACCAGG